CCAGACUCCUACGGGAGGCAGCAGUGGGGAAUAUUGGGCAAUGGGCGCAAGCCUGACCCAGCAACGCCGCGUGAAGGAAGAAGGCUUUCGGGUUGUAAACUUCUUUUGACAGGGAAGAGCAGAAGACGGUACCUGUCGAAUAAGCCACGGCUAACUACGUGCCAGCAGCCGCGGUAAUACGUAGGUGGCAAGCGUUGUCCGGAUUUACUGGGUGUAAAGGGCGUGUAGCCGGGCUUACAAGUCAGAUGUGAAAUCCGGGGGCUCAACCCCCGAACUGCAUUUGAAACUGUAGGUCUUGAGUAUCGGAGAGGCAGGCGGAAUUCCUGGUGUAGCGGUGAAAUGCGUAGAUAUCAGGAGGAACACCGGCGGCGAAGGCGGCCUGCUGGACCGUGACUGACGUUGAGGCUCGAGAGCGUGGGGAGCAAACAGGAUUAGAUACCCCUGUA
rnacentral:rRNA from 1 species